GUGUCAGCAGCCGCGGUAAUACGUAGGGGGCGAGCGUUGUCCGGAUUCAUUGGGCGUAAAGCGCUUUAAGGCGGUUCGGUAAGUCGCGUGUGAAACCUCCAGGCUCAACCUGGAGACGCCACGCGAUACUGCCGUGACUUGAGUUCGGUAGGGGAUCACGGAAUUCCUGGUGUAGCGGUGAAAUGCGCAGAUAUCAGGAGGAACACCAGUGGCGAAGGCGGUGAUCUGGGCCGAUACUGACGCUGUAGAGCGAAAGCGUGGGGAGCGAACAGGAUUAGAAACCCCGGUAGUCC
rnacentral:rRNA from 1 species